rnacentral:rRNA from 1 species
GCAUGUGCUGUGAGCUCGAUGAGUAGGGCGGGACACGUGGUAUCCUGUCUGAAUAUGGGGGGACCAUCCUCCAAGGCUAAAUACUCCUGACUGACCGAUAGUGAACCAGUACCGUGAGGGAAAGGCGAAAAGAACCCCGGCGAGGGGAGUGAAAAAGAACCUGAAACCGUGUACGUACAAGCAGUGGGAGCACCCUUUGGGGUGUGACUGCGUACCUUUUGUAUAAUGGGUCAGCGACUUAUAUUCUGUAGCAAGGUUAACCGAAUAGGGGAGCCGGAGGGAAACCGAGUCUUAAUUGGGCGUUAAGUUGCAGGGUAUAGACCCGAAACCCGGUGAUCUAGCCAUGGGCAGGUUGAAGGUUGGGUAACACUAACUGGAGGACCGAACCGACUAAUGUUGAAAAAUUAGCGGAUGACCUGUGGCUGGGGGUGAAAGGCCAAUCAAACCGGGAGAUAGCUGGUUCUCCCCGAAAGCUAUUUAGGUAGCGCCUCGUGAAUUCAUCUCCGGGGGUAGAGCACUGUUUCGGCUAGGGGGCCAUCCCGGCUUACCAACCCGAUGCAAACUGCGAAUACCGGAGAAUGUUAUCACGGGAGACACACGGCGGGUGCUAACGUCCGUCGUGAAGAGGGAAACAACCCAGACCGCCAGCUAAGGUCCCAAAGUCAUGGUUAAGUGGGAAACGAUGUGGGAAGGCCCAGACAGCCAGGAUGUUGGCUUAGAAGCAGCCAUCAUUUAAAGAAAGCGUAAUAGCUCACUGGUCGAGUCGGCCUGCGCGGAAGAUGUAACGGGGCUAAACCAUGCACCGAAGCUGCGGCAGCGACGCUGAUGCGUUGUUGGGUAGGGGAGCGUUCUGUAAGCCUG